UACGUAGGGGGCGAGCGUUGUCCGGAAUCAUUGGGCGUAAAGCGCGUGUAGGCGGCUCGGUAAGUCCGGUGUGAAACCUUGGGGCUCAACCCCAAGCCUGCACUGGAUACUGUCGAGCUCGAGUCCGGGAGGGGAGAGCGGAAUUCCUAGUGUAGCGGUGAAAUGCGCAGAUAUCAGGAGGAACACCGGUGGCGAAGGCGGGUCUCUGGGCCGAUACUGACGCUGAGGAGCGAAAGCGUGGGGAGCAAACAGG
rnacentral:rRNA from 1 species